rnacentral:tRNA from 1 species
GGGGGUAUAGCUCAGUGGUUAGAGCACCCGCAUACGUAUCGGAAGGUCGGGGGUUCGACUCCCUCUGUCUCCA